rnacentral:rRNA from 1 species
CAUAGGUUAAUGAGGCGAACCGGGGGAACUGAAACAUCUAAGUACCCCGAGGAAAAGAAAUCAACCGAGAUUCCCCCAGUAGCGGCGAGCGAACGGGGAGGAGCCCAGAGCCUGAAUCAGUGUGUGUGUUAGUGGAAGCGUCUGGAAAGGCGCGCGAUACAGGGUGACAGCCCCGUACACAAAAAUGCACAUGCUGUGAGCUCGAUGAGUAGGGCGGGACACGUGGUAUCCUGUCUGAAUAUGGGGGGACCAUCCUCCAAGGCUAAAUACUCCUGACUGACCGAUAGUGAACCAGUACCGUGAGGGAAAGGCGAAAAGAACCCCGGCGAGGGGAGUGAAAAAGAACCUGAAACCGUGUACGUACAAGCAGUGGGAGCCUCUUAAUGGGGUGACUGCGUACCUUUUGUAUAAUGGGUCAGCGACUUAUAUUCUGUAGCAAGGUUAACCGAAUAGGGGAGCCGAAGGGAAACCGAGUCUUAACUGGGCGUUAAGUUGCAGGGUAUAGACCCGAAACCCGGUGAUCUAGCCAUGGGCAGGUUGAAGGUUGGGUAACACUAACUGGAGGACCGAACCGACUAAUGUUGAAAAAUUAGCGGAUGACUUGUGGCUGGGGGUGAAAGGCCAAUCAAACCGGGAGAUAGCUGGUUCUCCCCGAAAGCUAUUUAGGUAGCGCCUCGUGAAUUCAUCUCCGGGGGUAGAGCACUGUUUCGGCAAGGGGGUCAUCCCGACUUACCAACCCGAUGCAAACUGCGAAUACCGGAGAAUGUUAUCACGGGAGACACACGGCGGGUGCUAACGUCCGUCGUGAAGAGGGAAACAACCCAGACCGCCAGCUAAGGUCCCAAAGUCAUGGUUAAGUGGGAAACGAUGUGGGAAGGCCCAGACAGCCAGGAUGUUGGCUUAGAAGCAGCCAUCAUUUAAAGAAAGCGUAAUAGCUCACUGGUCGAGUCGGCCUGCGCGGAAGAUGUAACGGGGCUAAACCAUGCACCGAAGCUGCGGCAGCGACACUAUGUGUUGUUGGGUAGGGGAGCGUUCUGUAAGCCUGUGAAGGUGGCCUGUGAGGGUUGCUGGAGGUAUCAGAAGUGCGAAUGCUGACAUAAGUAACGAUAAAGCGGGUGAAAAGCCCGCUCGCCGGAAGACCAAGGGUUCCUGUCCAACGUUAAUCGGGGCAGGGUGAGUCGACCCCUAAGGCGAGGCCGAAAGGCGUAGUCGAUGGGAAACAGGUUAAUAUUCCUGUACUUGGUGUUACUGCGAAGGGGGGACGGAGAAGGCUAUGUUGGCCGGGCGACGGUUGUCCCGGUUUAAGCGUGUAGGCUGGUUUUCCAGGCAAAUCCGGAAAACCAAGGCUGAGGCGUGAUGACGAGGCACUACGGUGCUGAAGUGACAAAUGCCCUGCUUCCAGGAAAAGCCUCUAAGCAUCAGGUAACAUCAAAUCGUACCCCAAACCGACACAGGUGGUCAGGUAGAGAAUACCAAGGCGCUUGAGAGAACUCGGGUGAAGGAACUAGGCAAAAUGGUGCCGUAACUUCGGGAGAAGGCACGCUGAUAUGUAGGUGAAGCGACUUGCUCGUGGAGCUGAAAUCAGUCGAAGAUACCAGCUGGCUGCAACUGUUUAUUAAAAACACAGCACUGUGCAAACACGAAAGUGGACGUAUACGGUGUGACGCCUGCCCGGUGCCGGAAGGUUAAUUGAUGGGGUUAGCGGUAACGCGAAGCUCUUGAUCGAAGCCCCGGUAAACGGCGGCCGUAACUAUAACGGUCCUAAGGUAGCGAAAUUCCUUGUCGGGUAAGUUCCGACCUGCACGAAUGGCGUAAUGAUGGCCAGGCUGUCUCCACCCGAGACUCAGUGAAAUUGAACUCGCUGUGAAGAUGCAGUGUACCCGCGGCAAGACGGAAAGACCCCGUGAACCUUUACUAUAGCUUGACACUGAACAUUGAGCCUUGAUGUGUAGGAUAGGUGGGAGGCUUUGAAGUGUGGACGCCAGUCUGCAUGGAGCCGACCUUGAAAUACCACCCUUUAAUGUUUGAUGUUCUAACGUUGGCCCCUAAUCGGGGUUGCGGACAGUGUCUGGUGGGUAGUUUGACUGGGGCGGUCUCCUCCUAAAGAGUAACGGAGGAGCACGAAGGUUGGCUAAUCCUGGUCGGACAUCAGGAGGUUAGUGCAAUGGCAUAAGCCAGCUUGACUGCGAGCGUGACGGCGCGAGCAGGUGCGAAAGCAGGUCAUAGUGAUCCGGUGGUUCUGAAUGGAAGGGCCAUCGCUCAACGGAUAAAAGGUACUCCGGGGAUAACAGGCUGAUACCGCCCAAGAGUUCAUAUCGACGGCGGUGUUUGGCACCUCGAUGUCGGCUCAUCACAUCCUGGGGCUGAAGUAGGUCCCAAGGGUAUGGCUGUUCGCCAUUUAAAGUGGUACGCGAGCUGGGUUUAGAACGUCGUGAGACAGUUCGGUCCCUAUCUGCCGUGGGCGCUGGAGAACUGAGGGGGGCUGCUCCUAGUACGAGAGGACCGGAGUGGACGCAUCACUGGUGUUCGGGUUGUCAUGCCAAUGGCACUGCCCGGUAGCUAAAUGCGGAAGAGAUAAGUGCUGAAAGCAUCUAAGCACGAAACUUGCCCCGAGAUGAGUUCUCCCUGAGACUUAGAGUCUCCUGAAGGAACGUUGAAGACGACGACGUUGAUAGGCCGGGUGUGUAAGCGCAGCGAUGCGUUGAGCUAACCGGUACUAAUGAACCGUGAGGCUUAACCUU